rnacentral:rRNA from 1 species
UACGAAGGGGGCUAGCGUUGCUCGGAAUCACUGGGCGUAAAGCGCACGUAGGCGGACUCUUAAGUCGGUGGUGAAAUCCUGGAGCUCAACUCCAGAACUGCCUUCGAUACUGAGAGUCUCGAGUCCGAGAGAGGUGAGUGGAACUGCGAGUGUAGAGGUGAAAUUCGUAGAUAUUCGCAAGAACACCAGUGGCGAAGGCGACUACCUGGCCUGUUCUUGACGCUGAGGCGCGAAAGCUAGGGGAGCAAACGGGGAUUAAGAAAC